GUGCUGUGCGAGCACGACAGUGCACUGUAGGCUUGGAGCGGGUUGGUGUUGCGAAGCUCGACGCUAGCGCCUGAGGAACUCCUCUUACUUUUAAGAUCAUCGCCAGCACAGAGGAUGUUUGUCUAUGUUGUCCGCAAUGUUGGUGGUGCCAAUGUUGCAAGGUCACUUGUCAAGCCACAGAAGAAUGUAGAUACAGCCGUGCACACAGGAGCCUUUGGUUUGUUCUUGAUUGGCGUGUCGAUCUCGUCAUUUUCUCUGCGCAAGCUGUCCCUGCAGGCGCCUGUGAAAGUGUAAUGGCUGACCUGCUGCACAAGCCUCAUCCGACGAGUGGUGGUGGUUUUACUGCUCCUAUUUAAUGGCCACACAGUUGAUCCAAGUGAUUUUUUUGUUAUAUUAAAUGUUAGUGAUUCUUAGUAGACGUAAGCCUCAUCCGACGAGUGUUGGAGGUUUUACUGCUCCUAUUUAAUGGCCACACAGUUGAUCCAAGUGAUUUUUUAGUUAUGUUAAAUGUUAGUGAUUCUUAGGAGACGUUGAGUAUUGGUUAUGAAUUUUUAGACGAGUAAAGUUGUUGUACAUACUGUCAGCUAGUCGAACUGAAAAAAUUAUUGAUAUUUGUUAAUCUUAGUUGCCCAGAAUGGUAAUUUUCCAUCCAGGGUAAUUUUAUGUCAGUCACACUCGAUAUUUCUUCAUCUCAGUCGCACAGAAGCAUGCUAGGCUUUGAUAAUUGCAUUCGUAUUUAAUGCGACUCCAUUCACUACUUAUGUGAUGAAUUUUUUUUUAUAUUUUUCUUGGACGAUUUGAGUAUUUCCUUAUAUUUAAUUCACUCUGUGUCAAUGACAUGUCUAUUUAUUCGUAAUUUGGGGUUUGUUUAGUUGUUCACUUUUAAAGAUAAAAUGCAUUCUUGUUAGUGACACUUCGAGGCGCUAGACAAUCGUUUAAUUAAAUUUACAUAUUUAUUUUCCUGAAUGUACCCGCUGGUGGCGGCUGUCCAUUGAUUGAUACUGUGGCUAUGAUUCAAAAGCUAGCUCUAUAGACUGCAAUUCGCAUCCGUAUGUUCCAUACUUUUCAAAUUAAAUAUCAAAUAUUCAA